ensembl:lncRNA
AGCAAACACGCGAAGGCGAAUGCCGAGAAGAGAGGAGACCUCAGAAGACAGAGAGGAGAAAUCAGAGCUGUGAAUUAGGCCAGCAUAGCAGGGAUAUAAAUCAACCAACACUGUUGAGGAAGUGCCACUUUUUCCGUCAUCAACGCAUGCAAGCUGUUGGGGAUUUUGAUGUAGGGUACAGCCCCCUGGGUGCUCUGAGCACAGGUCGAACUCUAAAGGG